rnacentral:rRNA from 1 species
AGUGAACGCUGGCGGUAGGCCUAACACAUGCAAGUCGAACGGCAGCACAGUAAGAGCUUGCUCUUACGGGUGGCGAGUGGCGGACGGGUGAGGAAUACAUCGGAAUCUACUUUUUCGUGGGGGAUAACGUAGGGAAACUUACGCUAAUACCGCAUACGACCUACGGGUGAAAGCAGGGGAUCUUCGGACCUUGCGCGAUUGAAUGAGCCGAUGUCGGAUUAGCUAGUUGGCGGGGUAAAGGCCCACCAAGGCGACGAUCCGUAGCUGGUCUGAGAGGAUGAGCAGCCACACUGGAACUGAGACACGGUCCAGACUCCUACGGGAGGCAGCAGUGGGGAAUAUUGGACAAUGGGGGCAAGCCUGAUCCAGCCAUACCGCGUGGGUGAAGAAGGCCUUCGGGUUGUAAAGCCCUUUUGUUGGGAAAGAAAAGCAGCAGGUUAAUACCCCGCUGUUCUGACGGUACCCAAAGAAUAAGCACCGGCUAACUUCGUG